rnacentral:rRNA from 1 species
AGAGUUUGAUCCUGGCUCAGGACGAACGCUGGCGGCGUGCCUAACACAUGCAAGUCGAGCGAUGAAACCCUUCGGGGUGGAUUAGCGGCGGACGGGUGAGUAACACGUGGGUAACCUGCCUCAAAGAGGGGAAUAGCCUCCCGAAAGGGAGAUUAAUACCGCAUAAUAUGUUUUGAUCGCAUGAUCUUAACAUCAAAGGAAACUUCUUUUAGAAGAUUCCACUUUGAGAUGGACCCGCGGCGCAUUAGCUAGUUGGUGAGGUAACGGCCCACCAAGGCGACGAUGCGUAGCCGACCUGAGAGGGUGAUCGGCCACAUUGGAACUGAGACACGGUCCAGACUCGUACGGGAGGCAGCAGUGGGGAAUAUUGCGCAAUGGGGGAAACCCUGACGCAGCAACGCCGCGUGAAUGAUGAAGGUCUUCGGAUUGUAAAGUUCUGUCUUCU